rnacentral:lncRNA from 1 species
UGGAUCACGGCCUAAACUUGUGCAGCAACUCAUCAAGACUUUGCGCACUCAACAACUCAGCUUCACCUCUUCAUGGAACCGGUUUGAAGUCUCCCCCUCUCAACUGACUUCACAGCCUUCUUAGAGAAGCUAGGACACGACCAGAUCAUCUUCAAAACACCAGUGAGGCUGAUCAACACUUCACACACGGCUUGCCCUCUUCAUAGAACUGGUUUGGAUCUCCC